UAUAAAGAGGCUCUCUUCAUCCCCUGAAGGUCCCUACCUCGCCUCCUCCCAGCCCUCCCAACUCAUCUCCGCCGUCCAUAUACCCAUCUCCUCUCCGCGUGACCCAGAUGAGGAACCAUCGAUGAUGGCGUACGGGAAGCGCGCAUGGAGGGCGUUGCCGAGGCGGCGGCGCCGGCGACGGAAGCUACCUCUACCGACAACAGCACGAAUCAUCAAGGGCCGCGGUGCUGCCAUCCCAGUUGUCGGCGUCCUCUUGUGCGCCCCGGCCACAUAGGAGGACUGCCACAACUGUUGUGGAUCCUCAUCGUUCGUGUUGUGCAAGGACGGGGGUCGUCCUCGUUGUGCGAGGGUAGCACAUCGGGAGCUGCAACAACUAGGUUGCCGCACUCCUCGUCGACGCCCUUCUGAGCCUGUUGAACGCCGCGGUCAACGACUACGUGGGAAGAGCUGCGACAUGCUGCUUCACCUUCAAUGGCUUUUCGCGCCGGUCAAAAGACUGCAGGCAUGCAGAAUACAUCUCUGAAGGACCUAGCCAUGACUAUUACUGUGCAUGUGUGAACUCCUAUGAUAUGGGAAUUUGGAAGCCAGGAAACAUGGGCACUAUUUCAGCUGGAUUUUGUUGUAGUAGAUUGCCAUGUUAGGCUGAACAAAGGGCAAUAUAGUGUUUUGCCUUCUAUCAAAAGUUCACCAAGUUUGUUACUCUGGCAGAAAACUAUUAUGGAGGGGGACGUGUGGUGCAGAACCGAAUAGACAAAGAACAUGCUCAAAGAGGGCUCUAUCUAUCGAAUCUCAAUUUUUGAUGUUUAAGUGCCAAAAAGAUAUACAAAGCAGUGGAUUUUCCUACAAAGAUUUGCUUCACCCAGAGAACAUUGCCUAUGAAAAGGCCUCAACCAGACAAUUUUCCCAGAUUUGCCUACAGUAUGCAUCCUUUUACGGUGUUGGAGAAUAGAGCAAAAUAUACCUCUGUCAAGUAAAUGUGUUGACAAGUACUUAAAAUGUAGUGUACACAAGCAAAAAUAAAGGUCGAUGCGUACAUAUUUUUGGAAUCCAUAGAUAUCGUUGGUUUGAUAACAUUGGUUAGUGAGAUUCUACCCCUGGCAGGUACAAACAAGGGAGACAGAUUUAUAUCGGUGAUGGAAAGUACAAUUAUUUGGAAGCAUUGUCUAACAUAGGCAUAAUAAAGGUUAAAUGACUAUAAACUGGAUAAUUCCUGCAGCCAAUCUGCUGUUGGAAGAUUCGGUUGAGGCAUUAAAUGUUCAAGGCUUACGCUCGGCUUCUACCAACGAACCGACCAUUGUUGUGUUUGUUGGCAUGCUGGGUAUGCUAGCAGACAAGUAUACAUCAACUGCGGCAAGACUUUGAUGACGCGGAACCGUCAACAUGUUUGUCUGACCUCCUCGGCGAAGUCCGCUCCAUGAUCACCUCCCAGCGAGACCGAGCGCGCUUCACCGCCGUUUGUAAGUCAUGUCUACGCGAGAGAUAAAGAAUAAAGAUAUGCAUCAUGUAGUGCUUAAUGAUCUUGAUUUACCUUGUUGUUCCAAAGGACUGAUUCUACGGGAUAGAUAAAUAAUAAAGAUAUGCAUCAUGUAGUCCUUACGCAAAAAUUGCCAUGAAGGUUUUAGUUCAUCUUUGGGGAGCCUAUUGAAACAAAAGGUAACCAGUUGCACUAGCGAAUAGUAAUCUGAAAAGAUACCUAGAUGUUCUCAUGGCAAGUCAACAUAAGCUACCUUGUUAUCCUUUUUCGAUAAUCAAAAAAUGAAGUAUUUGGAGAGCCCAUGUCUGAUUAGGUUUGCUUCUUGAGUUUUCGGAGAUCCCAUGUCUGAUUAGGUUGGUUUCUUCUGUUUUCGAUUGGUUUACUUGUUUGCAUAGGGAGGGAAAAGGAGUUAAGAGAAAAAGAGAAGGCUCAGCACCUCUAUUUGCAUGUCAAAUCUGAAGUAGAGAGCUAUCUGAAGGAGAAGAGAGAGAAGGAUCCCUACAGGAGUACACUGACCGGUCUUCUAUAUCAGGCAGGAAAUGGUUCUGAUGCAGAAAUACCCACAU